AAAGCCGGGGAGCAGCAGGAAAAAUAUUAAUGUCAAUUGUUGUUCGGAGAGAAAUUUUCCUGUUUUGGUACUGAUUUAUGACGGCAAUGAUGUGUACGUCUCGAUGAAUCGCAAAUGAACCAAUCGUGCGUAAAGUAAUGUUUUUCCAGCAUCACAGAGACCGGUGAUGAGAACACUACGACCAACCGAUUUUUUUCUCUGCCAUACAAUGAAUAGAACUGCAACAAUAAUUCAUCAAUAAAUCCAGGGCAAUCUAUUUUUAUAUCUCCAGAAUGAUAACACUAUCAUGUGUUGUCAAGAGA